AUUGAACGCUGGCGGCAUGCCUUACACAUGCAAGUCGAACGGCAGCACGGGAGCAAUCCUGGUGGCGAGUGGCGAACGGGUGAGUAAUAUAUCGGAACGUGCCCAGUCGUGGGGAUAACGUAGCGAAAGCUACGCUAAUACCGCAUACGAUCUAUGGAUGAAAGCGGGGGAUCGCAAGACCUCGCGCGAUUGGAGCGGCCGAUAUCAGAUUAGGUAGUUGGUGAGGUAAAGGCUCACCAAGCCGACGAUCUGUAGCUGGUCUGAGAGGACGACCAGCCACACUGGGACUGAGACACGGCCCAGACUCCUACGGGAGGCAGCAGUGGGGAAUUUUGGGACAAUGGGCGCAAGCCUGAUCCAGCAAUGCGCGUGCAGGAUGAAGGCCGUCGGUUGUAAC
rnacentral:rRNA from 1 species